rnacentral:lncRNA from 1 species
CCGUGGAAGACGUCGAGGCAGACACCGUGAUGCGGCUUGCGCGGUCGUAGCAUCUCCGGAUGGCGAUGGGCGGAGCUCCGGACGCGGCGUCGCCAUGGGUUCGGGGACGGCGCGGCCAACAGCAUCAAGAGGUCAUGAAACCUUGUCACAAAGGUAGGUAAGGGUCACAUGAGUCUAUCGGUGAAAGGAAUCGAAAAACGGAGGUUCGGGGUGAUCUCACCGGCAACAAUGGUGGCGGUGACCGGCGGAGGAAGACGUCGACGUAGCCGGCUAUACAAAGGUUUUGAGGCCAAACUUUCAGAGAGAGACGCGCGGGAAGGAAAGUAAUCGAAGAAAAAAAAUAUGUACGGAGAAGAUUCCUUACGUGCAGAGGAUGAAAGAAGCACGAGCUCGUGCUCGUGGCUGGCUGGGGCGCUCGAUGGAGAUGGGCCGGCCCAUUCUUUUUUUUUUCCUUUUCUUUUUUUUUCCAUUUCUGUUUUUAUUAAUAACUUUUGAUUUUUAACUCCAAAUAAGUCCAAAUAAAUUGCAGUAAAUUUGUAAAUUCAAAUCCUAUAAAGUGUGAACUUUUGAGACUUGAAUCAUUUGAAAAGAAAAUAAGUAAAAAUACUUUUGCUUAUAUAAAUGUCAUUAGGGCUUUAUAAGUAAUAAAUAAAAUAGAUUUUGAAAUCUAUUAUGAAACUUUUGUUUCAUAAAUUAGUUUAAACUUCAAUAAAAUAUUGGGUUGGCAUACUUUGCACUAAAACACUUUCUU